rnacentral:rRNA from 1 species
GACGAACGCUGGCGGCGUGCUUAACACAUGCAAGUCGAACGGUAAGGCCCUUCGGGGUACACGAGUGGCGAACGGGUGAGUAACACGUGGGUGAUCUGCCCUGCACUUUGGGAUAAGCCUGGGAAACUGGGUCUAAUACCGGAUAGAACCAUGCGCUUCACGGUGUGUGGUGGAGAGCUUUUGCGGUGUGGGAUGGGCCCGCGGCCUAUCAGCUUGUUGGUGGGGUAAUGGCCUACCAAGGCGACGACGGGUAGCCGGCCUGAGAGGGUGACCGGCCACACUGGGACUGAGAUACGGCCCAGACUCCUACGGGAGGCAGCAGUGGGGAAUAUUGCACAAUGGGCGCAAGCCUGAUGCAGCGACGCCGCGUGAGGGAUGACGGCCUUCGGGUUGUAAACCUCUUUCAGUAGGGACGAAGCGCAAGUGACGGUACCUACAGAAGAAGGACCGGCCAACUACGUGCCAGCCGCCGCCGUAA